rnacentral:rRNA from 1 species
AAAUUGAAGAGUUUGAUCAUGGCUCAGAUUGAACGCUGGCGGCAGGCCUAACACAUGCAAGUCGAACGGUAACAGGAAACAGCUUGCUGUUUCGCUGACGAGUGGCGGACGGGUGAGUAAUGUCUGGGAAACUGCCUGAUGGAGGGGGAUAACUACUGGAAACGGUAGCUAAUACCGCAUAACGUCGCAAGACCAAAGAGGGGGACCCUCGGGCCUCUUGCCAUCGGAUGUGCCCAGAUGGGAUUAGCUUGUUGGUGGGGUAACGGCUCACCAAGGCGACGAUCCCUAGCUGGUCUGAGAGGAUGACCAGCCACACUGGAACUGAGACACGGUCCAGACUCCUACGGGAGGCAGCAGUGGGGAAUAUUGCACAAUGGGCGCAAGCCUGAUGCAGCCAUGCCGCGUGUAUGAAGAAGGCCUUCGGGUUGUAAAGUACUUUCAGCGGGGAG